AUAAGCUCCAGUGUAGGGCAUGUAAUUCUAUGUAAAAACUCUGUGGUUCCUCUUUCCACAUGUAAAUCAUGAUCAUUCUACAUUCUGCUCUCUGGGAGCCCUCAAGGCAAAGAGACAACACGGCUCGAGACCACAGAAAGGACUUAUCACAAGUCUUUGUGGUAGCUGAGGAGUGCCCCCUACAGACUGAUAUGCACAAUGCAAGCAGAUGAAGAGGAAAGAAUUGAGCAGCAGUGUUUCAGGAUUCUCAAUAAGGCAUCAAUGAAAAAAGUUACAACCUCAUAGAUCCUCUUUCAAUGAUGUGCACAAGUAGAUGAGAAAAGUUAACCAAGUCUGAGAGGUGAAAUGACUUGCCAAAGGUCACUUACAGAUAUUGGAGACAAGACAGGAAACAAGAGGCACCAAAAUGUAUAUCAGAAGAAAUUGUCAUUCAUCAUGACACUUCACAUGUACUGCAUUGUUUUAAUAGAAAAUUCUAAAGUUUCAU